CCCCGCUUCUUUCCUAUCUUGAACGUCAUUUGCACUGCUCACCGCAUACAUUGUCGCCAUAUGAUUUAAAUUGUUCUUAAUAAUUUCCGGCACUGGGUAUUAAGUAUUUUUUUUGACCUCUACUCUAAAGGCUAGCCGUGUUGUCGCCAACGGACCGCCGGGUCAAACGACGCAAGUUUUGUCGGAAAUUAGCCAUCGUCAGAACUGGUACGCUAAUUUUCGUCCGUAUCGUGAGUUUUCUGUUGUUGUGUGCGUUGCAACUUUUUAAUUUUUUAUAUAUAUUUUUCGUGAGUGUUCGUUAUUUUUUUUUAUAAUGCAAAUUCUUUGUUGGUUGGCGUCGGCUAAUCCUGCCUCCAUUUUCUGUAGCCCCGAAGGGCUGGUAAUGUUUUAUAUUAUAUUUUAUUGGGUGAUGAAUAUGUUAUUAGUACAAUGUGGCGACGUAGUGCAUUUUAUUCCUGAUGUCCCAACGUCUUGCAAGCUAAGUCUAACUGCCAAAAACCAGUCGCUUACUUGGGACGUAUACCCGCCGUGCUUAGCGGUAAUACCGCGAUUAAUAGCCGGCGAGUACCCGAAGACGUUCACCGUAUUCUCUAAUAAUAAAAGUAUUACUAACAUAAUUUUAUCUGGUUGUCUUCUAUUAUAUGCUACACGUCGGCAAUCAUCUAUAGUAUGGUGUGGGGCGCUUCAUGCAAUUGUAAGAGAAUUUGCCCGUUUAUUUACAUCGAUAUACGCCGAUAGAAAAAUUCCUAUAAUUUUAACAAAAAUAAAUCAGUAUGACAAACAAUAUGGUUGGAUAUCAAAAAACAGAUCUGGUUUAAGAUACUAUUUGCAGAUUUAUAUUAUAUUUUAUCUAAAUAUAAUAAUUUUAGCUAACAUUAAUAUGAUAUAUUAUGGGUUUACAAUACAAAAUAUCAGCAAAAAUGCAUUAAGAUAUAUGACAACAAUUUUUCCAUUGAUGUACUUGGUGUUAUGUGAUGAAUUAAUUUUUCGAUUUCAAGAUUUGGAAAAAAGAUGGCGAACAAUUGUCUAUGAGACAUUAAAUAAUAAAACACCAUUUUCAACUGAAAAAUUAGAGACGGAGCGUUUAGCACAUUCUUUUCUUUGUAAUAUUCUUGAAGAAAUUCGCUCAAUAUUUGGACUACGUCUUGCCACUUAUGUCUUUUUUGUUUUUCAAGAACACUUAAUACGAUUUUACUUUUCAAUUUACUUUAAAUCAUAUAUGAUAGACGAUUUCUCUAAAAAUGAAAAAUUGUUUUAUAGUGAUAUAUUAUUUUUUAUCACACAUAGCUGGAUAGGAAUAUUUUUUAUUACAUCUUUUUCCGAAAAACUCACAUUAGCUAGUAAAACAAUAAUGAGUCACCUGAGAAGUAUACCAAUAUGGAAGUUAUCUAAAGAAUCUGUUGAUCAAUGUACAUAAAUUAGGAAAAUGAAACAUUUUUUGUAGUGAAAACUUCUCUCGGGGGGCUCUGGAUUUCAUUGGAAUAAACAGGUGAAACGAGUUAGCGACACUGACAAUUGUAUAUCUGUACACAUACAUUCUUUAUGUAUACAGUGUUCAAUGACCAUAUCUUUGGCUACGUACAUUAUUGUCAUAAUACAAUUGUCACCUGAUUUAAAUCGAAUCUUUAAAAAUUAACUACAUUUCUUUUUGACUUUAUU